UUGAUACUUGAAGGAGAGGUAGUCCGUGUUGUCUUCUCUUUAUUUAUGAUGAAACAUACACGGGAAACCUCUUUUUUAGUAUCAA
ensembl:miRNA microRNA 494